CAGUAGCCGCGGUAAUACGUAGGGUGCAAGCGUUAAUCGGAAUUACUGGGCGUAAAGCGUGCGCAGGCGGUUUUGUAAGACAGAGGUGAAAUCCCCGGGCUCAACCUGGGAACUGCCUUUGUGACUGCAAGGCUAGAGUACGGCAGAGGGGGAUGGAAUUCCGCGUGUAGCAGUGAAAUGCGUAGAUAUGCGGAGGAACACCGAUGGCGAAGGCAAUCCCCUGGGCCUGUACUGACGCUCAUGCACGAAAGCGUGGGGAGCAAACAGGAUUAGAUACCCCAGUAGUCCCUGUCUCUUAUAA
rnacentral:rRNA from 1 species